CUCACUUCCCAAGGUCUCAGAUUCCUCAUCCAUAUGAUGAAGGUGUUUGACUAGAGGAACUCAAAGGUUCCUUGCAACUUUGAGUCUACUGGCCUGGGAUUUUCCUCUAGUUUCCUCCAUGUAUAGGGAAAUGCACAAUAUAGAAGGAGGAGGAAUCAGAGUGGCCAAGAGGCAUUAUUUGGAAUUGUUUUCCACAAAAGUCCUAGCUGGAAGCUUGCCUUCUAUUACUCUUCUAAAAUUUCCUGCCAAGUCCAUGUUUACACCAACAUCUCCAGGAAUCCAGCAUUCUGGUCAAGUGAGAACAUCUGUGCCAGAUUGUUAAUUAUUGCUAUUCUCUGAGUGCAGGCACUGGAACUCUCACUGAGGCAACAUAGUAUAUAAGGGCAUUGGCUAUGGGUUUCUUACCAUUCAUCUUUCCAAGAUGAAGACAGAAAGAACUUUCCAAAUGACAUGUGUCCUGGGCUUUCUCCUCAUUUUUCUCAUCGGUUCAAGUCUAGGUAAUGAUCAAUGCUCUGUCCAGAGGAUUCCUUCAAUGUCUAGAGGUUGUAUGAACAGUGAUGGAUCUGAGUUUAGAACUGGUGCCUCUUGGAUCCAGAAUGGUUUACGCUGUAGGUGUUUUGGAGAUAAAAUUUGGUGCUGCAGGGUCAGGCAACCUUGUCCAGAGGUGAUACCAAGAAUUCAAGAAAACGAUAAUACCUUCUUUUGAACUCAUAGAAUAUUUAUCUGAAUCAGUUGCUUGCAUCCUCUAGAAGACUGAUGCUCAACUGACUGCUAGACUACUUCUAUGGAGCCCUACUUGCUGCUUGACCAGCUGUCAUCAAUAUGCUUCUCAUUCUCCAAAGGACACUUGUAGAGUUCACAGGGGCCACUUCUGUGCUUUCUCACUGAUGAUAUUAAAGAGCCCGUAGUGUAACUUUUGCUGUAACUGGUGGAAUUCAAUAAAUGACAGUUCCACAUUGAAAGUGUUGAAGCG
rnacentral:lncRNA from 1 species